GUAGGGUGCAAGCGUUGUCCGGAAUUACUGGGUGUAAAGGGAGCGCAGGCGGAUUGGCAAGUUGGGAGUGAAAUCUAUGGGCUCAACCCAUAAAUUGCUUUCAAAACUGUCAGUCUUGAGUGGUGUAGAGGUAGGCGGAAUUCCCGGUGUAGCGGUGGAAUGCGUAGAUAUCGGGAGGAACACCAGUGGCGAAGGCGGCCUACUGGGCACUAACUGACGCUGAGGCUCGAAAGCAUGGGUAGCAAACAGGAUUAGAUACCCUGGUAGUCCAUGCCGUAAACGAUGAUUACUAGGUGUGGGAGGAUUGACCCCUUCCGUGCCGCAGUUAACACAAUAAGUAAUCCACCUGGGGAGU
rnacentral:rRNA from 1 species